CCUACGGGUGGCAGCAGUGAGGGAUAUUGGUCAAUGGGGGAAACCCUGAACCAGCAACGCCGCGUGAGUGAAGAAGGAUUUCGGAUUGUAAAACUCUGUCCUCUGGGAAGAAAAUGACGGUAGCAGAGGAGGAAGCUCCGGCUAACUACGUGCCAGCAGCCGCGGUAAUACGUAGGGAGCAAGCGUUAUCCGGAUUUACUGGGUGUAAAGGGUGCGUAGGCGGCACUGCAAGUCAGAAGUGAAAUCCAUGGGCUUAACCCGUGAACUGCUUUGGAAACUGUAGGGCUUGAGUGAAGGAGAGGUAGGCGGAAUUCCUGGUGUAGCGGUGAAAUGCGUAGAGAUUGGGAGGAACACCAGUGGCGAAGGCGGCCUGCUGGGCUUUAACUGACGCUGAGGCUCGAAAGCGUGGGUAGCAAACAGGAUUAGAUACCCUAGUAGUC
rnacentral:rRNA from 1 species